AUCCAGGCUGGAGCUUACGUGUGUGUGUGUGUGUGUGUGUGUGUGUGUGUGUGUGUGUGUGUGAGCGCGCUCUGCCAUUGCAUUCCUGUAUCUUAGUGUUCAGCACACCUAAAAACCACAAGGUACAUUUACUUCAUUUUAUUUUUCUAAUGAGCUUCUGGUUGGUUGAGUUGGAAGAACCUUCUGGGAAGUAAAGCAAGAACCAGAAAAGAAAAUCCCAGUUUUGAUCAUAGUUGAUCACAGGAGAUUUGCAGUGGCUAUAUUAAAACUAUAUGCUGCAAAACCAUUUGCUAAUCAGUGUGAUUAUUUGGGGGUUAAAUGUUAUUCAGUCUUACAAACUAACUGUGACAAUCAUAAUUACUGCAAAUAAGUAGGGUGCAGCGUUAUGCUCUGAGUCACUCAGUUAUGCUUGUAUGAGUGAUAACAGUUAUAGCAACAGCUUAGAAAAGGGCCCCCAAACAUAGACACCAGCUAUGACUAUUCAUUUAUUUAGACUGAAUGAUCAGUUUAACAGAUUUUCCCAUUGAGAAAAUAAAUACUCACUUGAGCCAUCUUGAAACCUUCGUACCUAUGCAGAUAGUUCAAUGAGGUGAAAAGAUGUGUCUGUGUGGGAUUUUUCGAGGAAAAUAAUGCAAACAUUUAAAAGUAGAAAGUAGCUUCUUCCCCCCCCCCCCCCCACACACUUUGAUGGGAUUUGCUCUGUCUCCCAGGACUUCAGACCUCUUCCCUCGGGAGACCCUUCUGCAUCAGAUGCGCCAAUAUCCAGGACUACAGGCACAUACCUGAGCCCAACGGGUUUUGUUUAUUUCUAGUUGCCAUCCUAAAGUCAGGUGGCGAUGGUUCACUGGCGCCCUUUGUCAGCAACAGCUUAGUUUGCAUGUGUGUAUUUUUCCAUACUGCUAGCAUUACCUGAAUGUGCUAUCUCCAGAACACUUUGAGAACUGUUAACAGAGCUAAAACAUGCCUGUAUAUGAUCCGAUACCCAAGGAAGCAGAAGCUCAUGGUAUCGAUAAGUGGGCUCCUUAUAGUGGUGACUGGAAUGUCAAGAUACACCAGUGGUCUCAGGGAUGGCAUCAAUGUUAUGGGAGUAACCAACUACUUUCUAGUUGGACUUAAGGCACAGUGUACAUGAAAACGCAGACCUGGAACCUACUGGCAGUGUUUGUCUAAAUAGACAUAGUAAGUCUGUGUCUGUGGACCCAUAUAGGUCCAUAAUGAUGGAAUAUGCUCAAUGUACAAUAUGAUUUACAGAAAGAGGCCUCAUGGAAUGCAGUAUAUAUAAAAAAUACAUACAACGCUAAAGGGUUAUAAAUCACUACUAAAUAUUAACCCAGUUGCAAAAAUCAGUCUGAACUUCUAGGUUUAUGACUGACUACAGAGGAAGAAUGGGGCUUUGUUUUCAAUUUUUAAAAUAGAUUUUCUUAUACAAUAUAUCCUGAUUACUAUUUCCCCUCCCCCAGCCUUUUUUACGUCUCUACCACCCAAAUCCACAACUUUUCUUCUCUCUCAUAAUAAUAACAAUAACAACAAUAACAAAAUAGGUAUUGUCUUUUUAUUUAGUGGCAGAUGGAUAUUCCUUUCUGUAAAUAUACAUUUAUAUAUAUCCAUUCAUUGAUGGGCAUCUAAGCCAUAUCCAAUGUCUGGCAGCUAUGAAUAGAGGAGUUGAACAUGGUUGAGCCGGUGCCUCUGUGAUAGGAUGAAGAAUCCUUGGGCCCAAGAGUAGCUGAAUCUUGAGAGGAAUCUUUCAUGUUCCUGAGAAACCACCACACUGCAUUCCACAAUGGUUAUCCAAGCCUACGUGCUCCUCAGCAGUGGAGGAGUGCUCCCUUGUCCCACAUCCUCACCAGCAGGAACUGUCACUUGUUUUAUUGAUCUUGGCCAUUCUGACUGUCAUGAGAUGAAAUCUCAAAGUCGUUUUUGAUCUACAUUCCCUUGAUGAGUAAGGCCGUUGAACAAUUCUUUUAAGUGCUUCUGAGCCAUGUGUGAUUCCUCUUUUGAGAACUCUGUUUCUGAUCUAGUUUUCUGCAGUAAUAUCGGGAGGUGUUCCCACCAUUGGCCGUUAGCUUUCUGAACUCUGUAACUCUUGGUGUGUCCUCUGUCUCUGGGAGUUUUCUUUGACCACUACUCAGUUCUUUGAAGUUAAACGAAAAGCCGUUCUUCCUGAUUUCUUUCUUGUCAGGGAGCUAGCUCUAACCUGAGAUACUCAGUGUUUUUAACCUUGAAAAGGCUUUUAGACUUUUAUUGACCUUGAAAAACACAAAUCUGUUUUCACCACCAUCUGAACACUGAUCACUGACAUGUAUAAUUAUGGUUGAAGGCAUAGAUGUGGUCCGUGAAUUGUGUUUACACAGUUGGCCCUGCCCCCUGCCAUACACAUGACCUUGAGGAAGACGCUCAUGUACAAAGUGUGUGUAAUAACAGGGCAUGCUUUAGGAAAGUGAUUACUGAUGGAUGCAAAGCCGUUAGCACUGUGCCUGCAAAAUUAGCCUCUCUACUGGGAUUAGCAGCUACAACUGAAGCUGUAAUCAGUCUCCUACGUCAGAGGUCCAACAAGACACACUCAACUGUCCUAUCUGCCACCUGCACUGCCUGUCUUCUGGAACAGCUGACUCCCUCUCCCAUACCACAUCAUCCCCUACUUGAGAAAAGGUGGAACUGUUAUUGUAUUCAAGUAUAAUUCAAAAAAGCAUAAACACCAGGGAAUUCAAUGUAGGAGGGGAGUGCUCAAAUGGAAAGCAAGCAUGCUUUAGGAACCAUUAGGUUGAAGUAGGAACUACAAGCCGGGGAAUUUUUUUUUAACCUGCUGUAGGGCCAUAUGGUUGCAGAAUGUGUUGAUGCUGCUUCUAAGAUCCUUGAGUAUUUUAAACUUGACAUGUUAUUUUUUUAAUGAUUUCAAACAUCAUUUCUCUCAGAGCCUUUCCCUGCAUUGUGGUAAUACCAAGCAGAUGGCCCGGCAGCGUUUACAUUAGCAUUUUCCAAUACUGCCAUGUUAUUUGCAAUAUUUCUUUUCAGAAACCUAUGAUUUGUUCUCUACCUUUUCAGAAUGGCUGCGACGGAAUCAUGAACAGGGUCUUGGGACUCCUAGGAGCAGGGGCUGCGUACUGUGGAGCGUUCCGGGUUUUAUGGAGUUUUGUUUUGGGCUUUGUGCCUAUUGUCAUGGGUGGGAGCUCUCAUUUUACUGCUUCCAUGAGGGAACCGUCCUCCUCUGUCUUUCUGACAAGAGACACAUCAGUGCUGAGAGGAACCGUGGCUGUCCCUGCACUCUGCACCUUCUUACAUUUGUACAGGCACAUUUUCUAGAGUAGCCAUGUUUACUUAUUUAUUGCCUGGCCACUGCACAGAGCGUCUGUUCCGUGAAAGGUAGACCCUGGUUUGUUCAACCCUGAAGCUCCUCCACCAGCCAACACAGCACCGGUGCAGUGUGAGUCCUUGGGCACAGGAAUUAGAAAUAAUAGCCAGAUCUCUAGGAACUAGGGUUUUACAAGCCAGCUAGUUCUCUGAUCAUAGCUACUUUCUCCCCUUUUUUGACUUUUAUCUCAUUCUGGUAUGUUUUUAAGGGGACUUUGCUGCCAGCUUUCUUCCAAUUGUCUUACUUCUGUAGUGCUGUUUUGUCUUAUUUUGGUGGUGGUUCUU
rnacentral:lncRNA from 1 species